rnacentral:rRNA from 1 species
GUUGUCAUGCCAAUGGCAUUGCCCAGUAGCUACGUUCGGACGGGAUAACCGCUGAAAGCAUCUAAGCGGGAAGCCUCUUCCAAGAUUAGUUUUCCCUGGGGGUUUAACCCCCCUGAAGGGCCGUUCAAGACUAGGACGUUGAUAGGUUGGGUGUGGAAGCGCUGCGAGGCGUUGAGCUAACCAAUACUAAUUGCCCGUGAGGCUUGACCAUAUAACGCAAG